rnacentral:rRNA from 1 species
UACGAAGGGGGCUAGCGUUGCUCGGAAUCACUGGGCGUAAAGGGUGCGUAGGCGGGUCUUUAAGUCAGGGGUGAAAUCCUGGAGCUCAACUCCGGAACUGCCUUCGAUACUGGAAAGCUUGAGUCCGGGAGAGGUGGAGUGGAACUGGCGAGUGUAGAGGUGAAAUUCGUAGAUAUUCGCAAGAACACCAGUGGCGAAGGCGGACUCACUGGCCCGGUACUGACGCUGAGGUGCGGAAAGCGUGGGGAGCAAACAGGGAUUAA